rnacentral:miRNA from 1 species
CCGUUCGAUCGGGUGGGCCAUUCGAUCGGCUGGUCCAGCCGAUCGGCUGGGCCACUCGAUCGACUGGGCCGCUCGAUCGACUGG